AGUCGAACGGUAACGCGGGGGCAACCCUGGCGACGAGUGGCGAACGGGUGAGUAAUACAUCGGAACAUAUCCAGUAGCGGGGGAUAACCUACCGAAAGAUUGGCUAAUACCGCAUACGAUCUACGGAUGAAAGCAGGGGACCGCAAGGCCUUGCACUAUUGGAGUGGCCGAUGUCAGAUUAGCUAGUUGGUGGGGUAAAAGCCUACCAAGGCGACGAUCUGUAGCUGGUCUGAGAGGACGAUCAGCCACACUGGAACUGAGACACGGUCCAGACUCCUACGGGAGGCAGCAGUGGGGAAUUUUGGACAAUGGGCGCAAGCCUGAUCCAGCCAUGCCGCGUGAGUGAAGAAGGCCUUCGGGUUGUAAAGCUCUUUCGGUGAAGACGAAACGGUUAGCGCUAAUAACGCUGACUAAUGACGGUACUCACAGAAGAAGCACCGGCUAACUACGUGCCAGCAGCCGCGGUAAUACGUAGGGUGCAGGCGUUAAUCGGAAUUACUGGGCGUAAAGCGUGCGCAGGCGGUUUGCUAAGACAGGUGUGAAAUCCCCGGGCUUAACCUGGGAAUUGCGCUUGUAACUGGCAAGCUAGAGUGUAGCAGAGGGGGGUGGAAUUCCACGUGUAGCAGUGAAAUGCGUAGAUAUGUGGAGGAACACCGAUGGCGAAGGCAGCCCCCUGGGUUAACACUGACGCUCAGGCACGAAAGCGUGGGGAGCAAACAGGAUUAGAUACCCUGGUAGUCCACGCCCUAAACUAUGUCAACUAGUUGUCGGGGAAGAAAUUCCUUGGUAACGAAGCUAACGCGUGAAGUUGACCGCCUGGGGAGUACGGCCGCAGGUUAAAACUCAAAGGAAUUGACGGGGACCCGCACAAGCGGUGGAUUAUGUGGAUUAAUUCGAUGCACGCGAAAACCUUACCUACCCUUGACAUGCUAGGAAGUCCGCAGAGAUGUGGACGUGCCCGAAAGGAAACCUAGACACAGUGCUGCAUGGCUGUCGUCAGCUCGUGUCGUGAGAUGUUGGGUAAAGUCCCGCACGAGCGCAACCCUUGCCAU
rnacentral:rRNA from 1 species